UACGAAGGGGGCGAGCGCUGUUCGGAUUUACUGGGCGUAAAGGGCGCGUAGGCGGCCUUGUCAGUCAGGCGGGAAAGCCCCGGGCUCAACCUGGGAACGGCGCUUGGGACGGCGAGGCUGGAGUUCGGGAGAGGAGAGUGGAAUUCCCAGUGUAGAGGUGAAAUUCGUAGAUAUUGGGAAGAACACCGGUGGCGAAGGCGGCUCACUGGCUCGUUUCUGACGCUCAGGCGCGACAGCGUGGGGAUCAAACAGG
rnacentral:rRNA from 1 species